rnacentral:rRNA from 1 species
GACAGAGGUGCCAAGCGUUAGGCGGAAUCACUGGGCUUAAAGCGCGUGUAGGCGGAUGCCUAAGUACCUUGUGAAAUCCCACGGCUCACCCGUGGAACUGCUGGGUAUACUGGGUGUCUUGAGCCAACUAGGGGUCGCCGGAACAAGUGGUGGAGCGGUGAAAUGCGCAGAUAUCAGGAGGAACACCGGUGGCGAAGGCGGGUCUCUGGGCCGUAACUGACGCUGAGGAGCGAAAGCGUGGGGAGCGAACAGG